ACCCCGACGCCUCCGCCGGAUUCCCCCCGCACCUCCAGGCGGGAGCGAUGCGGCGCCGCUUCUGGGGCGUGUUCAACUGCUUGUGCGCCGGCGCGUUCGGGGCCUUGGCUGCCGCCUCCGCCAAGCUAGCCUUCGGCAGCGAGGUCGAGCCGGGGGCGCCGCUGCGGCGGGCCGGCGGGUGGGGCCGGGGCAGGAGGGGCGCUGCGGGGCAGCGGGGCUUCGGGAUGGAGCGGGGCUGGGAGCGCAGGGGGGCCACCUCACCCGCGCUGGCCUGUUUGGCCCACUCCGCAGCCGGGCACUACUGACAGCGUGGGCAGGAAGGCAUCCCUCGACUCCAUAUCACGCCCAACCCACGUCCAUUGUAGGUGGUAAGAGACUUCGGGGACUGAGGCUUGUACCCUUAUCUGGGACCUAAAAUCUGUCCUCCGAUUGGGCUAGUUCACUCUCGGGGAAGACGCACACCUUCCACAUCCACUCUCUACCUCUCAUUUUAAGCCCUUUGUGCCCGAACAUUUCUCUCCACGUGACUGUAAAGACUGAGCAAUAACCACUUGGCCUGCGGAGACUGAACUUCAUGCACUCAUCACUGUGAGGCCAAUAAGGGACUGGUGUUCAAUAGAAGAUUCGCAUUUUACUUCUGCCCAAGGUCACGUGGCUGGCAAGAUGGCCAAAUAGAGGUUGUUUCAGCUGUUAAAUGGGUGUGCGCCCUGCUGAGGGUUAAGUGAAGCCCUGUGCAGGAAAGCUCUGAGGACCCCCAGGCUGUGGUGGCCCGGCUGCCAGCAGUAACCAUGACCCUGGCUGCUGUGAGGGGUCUGCCGGUCAUGCUGCCCAGGGCUGGUCGUGGCUGCAGUGACACUUUCUCCUGCAGGUGAACGUGGGCUUCUGCGUCUUAGGCAUUAUUGUGAUGGCUACCACCAAUUCUCUGAUGUGGACGUUCUUUAGCCGGGGCCUCAGUUUCUCCAUGUCUUCAGCCAUUGCAUCUGUCACAGUGACUUUUUCAAAUAUCCUCAGCUCGGUGAGUAGCCUGAGCGUACAGUUUCUCUGUCCCAAACCUGGGCUCUGGGAGGGUUCUGGGUGGGUUGUCCUUGGGCAACCCCUGCUUCUACAUAGGAGAAGGGCCAGGAACUGAAGCAGAGGUUGGGCUGUGUCUUGACUCCUGGUGGCUGUCCCUCUAAUCUCUAACUUGGAGGAAUUCUCAAGUUAGAUGGGGAUGAAGUCCAACUGUCAAAAGCCUACUUGCUUGCUGCUCCUCAGGGGUCUGUGAACUCAGGCAGGAGCUGUGGAGGGUCGAGGUUCUUCUCUCCCAGGUGGGGCUGAGCCACUCAGCCCUGCAGUCCAGGCAGGGAGGACUUGGUGGACCCGUUGUGUGCUGGGCCUGGCUGCCGGCCUCUGCUGGGCUUUCUUGUGCACUUUGCUCGGUCCGAUGCUGUGAGGAGGUACCCUCCCCACUUCUCCAGGUGAGAUACGCUGAAGGUAACAGAUGGGUUUCAGGCCCAAGACUUCCAGCGCCAGACCUUUCCUCCCACCCUAGGAGGGCACUCAGCCACAGGGGAGUCAUGUGGUGCCCACCGUGGUCGCAUCCUGUGGGCAUGUGCCUGCCCAGCCUCACAGCUGUCUCUGUC